rnacentral:rRNA from 1 species
GGGGGCAACCCUGACCGAGCAACGCCGCGUGAGUGAAGAAGGUUUUCGGAUCGUAAAGCUCUGUUGUAAGUCAAGAACGAGUGUGAGAGUGGAAAGUUCACACUGUGACGGUAGCUUACCAGAAAGGGACGGCUAACUACGUGCCAGCAGCCGCGGUAAUACGUAGGUCCCGAGCGUUGUCCGGAUUUAUUGGGCGUAAAGCGAGCGCAGGCGGUUUGAUAAGUCUGAAGUUAAAGGCUGUGGCUCAACCACAGUUCGCUUUGGAAACUGUCAAACUUGAGUGCAGAAGGGGAGAGUGGAAUUCCAUGUGUAGCGGUGAAAUGCGUAGAUAUAUGGAGGAACACC